rnacentral:rRNA from 1 species
GAUGAACGCUAGCUACAGGCUUAACACAUGCAAGUCGAGGGACCGGCGCCCGGGUGAGUAACACGUAUCCAACCUGCCCCUUACUCGGGGAUAGCCUUUCGAAAGAAAGAUUAAUACCCGAUAUUACGGAUGGGCAUGCGUUCCAUGAGGUUGUUGGUGACGUAACGGCACACCAAGCAUUCAAUGGAUAGGGGUGCUGGGAGGCAGUUACCCCACGAUGGAACUGAGACACAGUCCAAACGCGUACGAGAGGCAGCAGUGAGUAAUAUUAGUCAAUGAGCGCUAGCCUGAACCUGCCAAGUGGCGGAAAGGAGGAAUGCUUAUGGGUCGGAAACUGCUUUUAGAGAAGAAUAGGUAGUAUAUGAAUAAGGAGCGGCUAACUCCGUGCCAGCAGCCGCGGUAAUAG